GACGAACCGUGCGGACGUUAUUCGGAAUCACUGGGCUUAAAGGGUGCGUAGGCGGGUCUUUAAGUCAGGGGUGAAAUCCUGGAGCUCAACUCCAGAACUGCCUUUGAUACUGAAGAUCUUGAGUUCGGGAGAGGUAGCUGGAAUUCCCGGUGUAGCGGUGAAAUGCGUAGAUAUUGGGAGGAACACCGGUGGCGAAGGCGGCUAUCUGGACCGGUACUGACGCUGAUACGCGAAAGCCAGGGGAGCAAACGGG
rnacentral:rRNA from 1 species